GGCUGGCACAAUUGGUCAGCGCGUGAGACUUUUAAGGAUAUGUUGUAUCCGAAAUUAUCUCAAGGUUCAGAGUUCGAGCCUCGUCAGUAUCACCU